AAAAAGAAGAGAGUAUAUUCUGACUAAUUUACUAAAGAUCCAAAUCAAGUCAGUAAAAUUUAAAAAAAAUACCCGGUUCAGUAAAAUUUUUUGCUGGCUCAUCCUCAAAAAAAGGCCCCUCACUGUAGAUAAUCUCCUUAAGAGAGGAUGGACUGGUAACACGGACUGUGUACUAUGUAGGACGGCAGAAGAAACUGUGGAUCAUUUAUUUACCCGGUGUGUAUUUUCCAGAUUCCUUUUGGUUUUGGCUUUGGAGAAUAUUCAGCGAAGGGAUUUGGGUCAUGACAUGACUUCAGUUUGGGACAUAUGGAUGUGCAGAAAAAACUCUCAUUUCUAAUGAAGUUGGUAGCAUGCUGUUUUUUCCUUAAAAAAAAAAAAAUUAAAAAAAAUA
rnacentral:lncRNA from 1 species